CGCUGAGCAUCCCCCCCGCGGGUCACCCGCUGAGGGCGGGGGGGGGGGGGAUUCGCCGCCGGGCCCCCCCAGGUUCGUCUGGUCCGAAAGGGCGCUGAGAGCCGGUGCUGCUGCUCCGCCGGCGGCUUCGGAGAGCCGCGGGUGGGUUUUGCGCGCUCGGGGCUUCGGGACACCGAGUCCCGCGGGGACAGCCAGCUUUAGGCUUGUCGCCAAGCUGCCACCCACCCGUUUCCACCGAAAUGCCCCCAAAAGUGCCAGCGAAGGGCUUGCUCCCUUCUCACACUCCCCAGCGCUCUCCUGGCCUCAUCGGUCACCUUCCUUUUAUUGCCCACCUGGAUUUUUUUCCCCGGAGGAAAACACUGAGAGCAUCUCGCCUCUUUUUUUUUUGCAGACCCCUUUCCCCUGCCCCUUUGGAGACCCCGCUUUGUGGGACUGCAGUUCCCAAAUCCCUUGAUCCAGCGAAAUUCCCCUCCGUGCUACGGCUGCAGCUACUGCCUACUCCUAGACAUGCUACGAGGUGGAGAAGGGACACGGCGGUGCCAUCCUCCUCCACGCUGAAUUUAGGUCUGCCAAGUCAGAAGAAGCCCCUUGCCUCUAAGAGCAGGGCCAACAUCUCCACAUCCCCGCGGUUUAUCCCCCUGAGGAUAAAGCCCCCACGCUUUGCUCCUGAUGUUAACGUUUCCUCCGUCUCCUCUCCCCUCAGGGCACGAAGACGACGUCCCACAGGGCACGAGGACGACGUCCCCCAGAGCCGGGCUGCCGGGGGCCUCACGCCACGAGAUGACGGCCAUCCUGGAGCGCCUCAGCACGCUGUCCCUCAGCGGGCAGCAGCUCAGCCGCCUCCCCCGGCUGCUGGAGGACGGCCUCCCCAAAAUGCCCUGCACCGUCCAAGAGGCCGAGGUGCCGCAGCUCUUUCGGGAGCCGUACAUCCACGCCGGGUACCGUCCCACCGGCCAGGACUGGCGCUACUACUUCCUCAGCCUCUUCCAGAAGCACAACGAGGUGGUCAACGUGUGGACUCACCUCCUGGCGGCGCUGGCCGUGCUGCUGAGGUUCAAGACGUUCGUGGAGGCUGAGCAGCUGCCCGUGGACGCGUGGUCCUUGCCCUUGUUCGUCUUUGUCCUCUCCUCCGUCACCUACCUGACCUGCAGCCUCUUGGCCCACCUGCUGCAGUCCAAAUCGGAGCUGUCCCACUACACCUUCUACUUCGUGGACUACGUUGGAGUCAGCAUCUACCAGUACGGUAGUGCCCUGGCCCAUUUCUACUACAGCUCCGACCAAGCCUGGUACGACAAGUUCUGG
rnacentral:lncRNA from 1 species